ACGCUCGACACCUACGGGAGGCAGCAGUGGGGAAUAUUGCACAAUGGGGGAAACCCUGAUGCAGCGACGCCGCGUGAGCGAAGAAGUAUUUCGGUAUGUAAAGCUCUAUCAGCAGGGAGAAACUGACGGUACCUGACUAAGAAGCACCGGCUAAAUACGUGUCCAGCAGACGCGGUAAUCUGAGCGGGCUGGCAAGGC
rnacentral:rRNA from 1 species